CCUACGGGAGGCAGCAGUGGGGAAUAUUGCACAAUGGGGGAAACCCUGAUGCAGCGACGCCGCGUGAGUGAAGAAGUACUUCGUUAUGUAAAGCUCUAUCAGCAGGGAAGAAAAUGACGGUACCUGAGUAAGAAGCCCCGGCUAACUACGUGCCAGCAGCCGCGGUAAUACGUAGGGGGCAAGCGUUAUCCGGAUUUACUGGGUGUAAAGGGAGCGUAGACGGCAGUGCAAGUCUGGAGUGAAAGGCGGGGGCUCAACCCCCGGACUGCUCUGGAAACUGUACGGCUUGAGUGCAGGAGAGGUAAGUGGAAUUCCUAGUGUAGCGGUGAAAUGCGUAGAUAUUAGGAAGAACACCGGUGGCGAAGGCGGCUUACUGGACUGUAACUGACGUUGAGGCUCGAAAGCGUGGGGAGCAAACAGGAUUAGAUACCCGAGUAGUC
rnacentral:rRNA from 1 species